CCGCCUCCUUCCUUCCUUCCUUGACGAAAGCGCAACCGCCGCGACACCACACAAUAAAUCGCUCGCGGAGACUUGAAUUGACCGAGAAAACGAGACGAAAACAAUGUCAAUCCAAGAGAAUAGAUCCGUGGGUGGCCAAUCGAAAAAUCUGGCGGCUAAACGAACCCCUAAUGCCGCGCACAAUCAACAUCUCAUCAUGUGUUUAGCGAAAAGAAUUGUUCUUGUUUCCAACCUUACCCACCGGUUGAUGAGCGGCUGAUUCAUCUUCUUCCUCCCCAGAAACCCAAACGUCGCCGCCUUCAUCUCCCCAACCACAUCCCACCGGCGACCUCCUCUCCCUCUCCCUCACCCUCGCCGUCGGCGCCCCCGCCCCUCCUCUUCUCUCCCUACGCCCAGAUCCGAUCGACCUGCUCAGGCCGCGGCCAGAUCCCGCACCGGCGUUCCCGCAUCGGCGCCGCGCCGUCAUGGAGCUUACUCCUUCUCCGCGACACGCUGCGGCAGAGGAGUCCUCCUCCCACCGCCACCGCCACCGCGCACUCCUCCUCCUCCUACCCGCAACAUCCCCACGACUCCACACCGCCAGAUUCCGGCGAGUUCCACCGGCGCGCAGCCCGCUCCCCUCUAGAUUUGUAGAUUUGUAGAUUGAAAUUAGUUUUUACAUGUCCUGGAUACCUAGCUAGUUGAGUUUUGUUCUCUGCAUACUACUGAAGGUGUUUACUUUGGUUUUUUGUGAAGAUAUUUAAUUUGAGCAUGCAACAAUAGAACAUAGUUGAAGAUCCAGAAAUGUGAAUGUCUUGCACAAAAUGUUGUUAUGCUGAUGAUGUUGUCUGCCGGUUGACUUGAUUGCUUGUAGUGGGAUUCGUAACUGGUUGUGGAUGAUGUUUUCAUGGCGCCACUUGACAUAUCCGAGGCAGCUUCCACAGGUGCCUCGCGCAGCUGCACCUCCCGGAUGGUGCUCCUUAGCUCGGUGCGCUCACUCGUUGGUGGGACGGCGCAGCUGUGCUUCUUGAGGCGACCUCUACCGUGUGAUGGCAGUGGUUGAAUGCACUGCAACCACGGCGGCGAUUGUGUCCUGCAUUGGCUACAACCUCUCUGCACAGGUGCCAUGGAGAUGUUGCUGAUGGUUCAAGGGCUAGUGCCGCUGCCAACGUAUUUAUCACAGUUUGCUCCAAUCUGAUCUCCUUGUGUGAAUGGUUACCUGAAUGAACUCUUAUAUAGUUUAAGAUGAACGAGUCAGACUCUGAAUGUGACCAGUCUUUUAAUUACCACACUACAUUUUUUGUUCUAAACUGGCUAAGAUUCUUGAUUAUACAGAGCUUGCCCUUAUGUAAAGAAUAAUAAGAUCUUUGACUUUUAUUUGAUUUAUGCAUAGCUAUAAGUUAGCUACCAAAUAAUACAGUGUGAGUGUUAGUUUUCUGUCAUAUGUGGAGUUCGUAUCAAAUGUAUGUUUGUUAUUUCUAUCCGUUGAUUCAACUUGUCUAUCUGUCUAUCAAGAUGCUAACGGAUGUCACCC